ACACUGAAGGGAGGUGGUCCGCGACAUGAAGUCUUUCCGGACGCGUGAGGUGGCUGCCCGCUAGCCGCCCGAGACACUCGGACGGACUGUCGAUCCGCUCGACUGCUCCGCCGGCGACGGCCGGCAGGGUGGCAGGCGAAUACCCGGCAGUCACCGCAGCCCGUGGGAGCCGCGACCUCGUCGUUCGCGGCAGGGUCUCCACCCGGAGUCCCGGCCCACGGGCUGUCCCCU
rnacentral:sRNA from 1 species